rnacentral:piRNA from 1 species
UAAUGAUGUGACUGGCCAGGUGCCUCUGUG